CCUACGGGACGCACCAGUAGGGAAUCUUCCACAAUGGGCGAAAGCCUGAUGGAGCAACGCCGCGUGAGUGAAGAAGGAUUUCGGUUCGUAAAACUCUGUUGUAAGGGAAGAACAAGUACAGUAGUAACUGGCUGUACCUUGACGGUACCUUAUUAGAAAGCCACGGCUAACUACGUGCCAGCAGCCGCGGUAAUACGUAGGUGGCAAGCGUUGUCCGGAAUUAUUGGGCGUAAAGCGCGCGCAGGUGGUUUCUUAAGUCUGAUGUGAAAGCCCACGGCUCAACCGUGGAGGGUCAUUGGAAACUGGGAGACUUGAGUGCAGAAGAGGAUAGUGGAAUUCCAAGUGUAGCGGUGAAAUGCGUAGAGAUUUGGAGGAACACCAGUGGCGAAGGCGACUAUCUGGUCUGUAACUGACACUGAGGCGCGAAAGCGUGGGGAGCAAACAGGAUUAGAUACCCGGGUAGUC
rnacentral:rRNA from 1 species